GUGUGACUCCUUGCACGUGCAGAUGCACUACCACAAGCUGAAAGAUCCAAAGUGCCGUUGAGACAGAGCAUGUCUUUCUGUGUGAUCAUUGAUUUCCUGUACAGUAGUGUUCUGCCCAAGUUUGAAGAGCUCCUCCGACACAGUCAGACUGAGUCAGGGAGACUGAGUCCAGAGAUCUCCACCAGGUUCAGACUGAGUCAGGGGAGACUGAGUCCAGAGUCUCCACCAGGUUCAGACUGAGUCAGGGGCGACCGAGUCCAGAGAUCUCCACCAGGUUCAGACUGGUCAGGGAGACUGAGUCCAGAGAUUCUCCACCAGGUCUUCAGACUGAGUCAGGGGAGACCGAGUCCAGAGAUCUCCACCAGGUUCAGACUGAGUCAAGGGAGACC